rnacentral:sRNA from 1 species
UUACUGUGACUGGCAGCGCCCCAUACUU